rnacentral:rRNA from 1 species
UACGGAGGGUGCAAACGUUGCUCGGAAUCAUUGGGCGUAAAGCGCACGUAGGCGGCCUGUUAAGUCGGAUGUGAAAGCCCUGGGCUCAACCCAGGAAGUGCAUACGAAACUGGCAGGCUUGAAUAUGGAAGAGGGUCGCGGAAUUCCCGGUGUAGAGGUGAAAUUCGUAGAUAUCGGGAGGAACACCAGUGGCGAAGGCGGCAUCCUGGACCGGCAUUGACGCUGAGGCGCGAAAGCCAGGGGAGCAAACGGG